AGGUGAAAAGAACCCCGGAAGGGGAGUGAAAUAGAAUCUGAAACCGUGUGCCUACAAUCGGUCGGAGCACAUUAAAGUGUGACGGCGUACUUUUUGUAGCACGGGCCAGCGAGUUACGAUAUAUAGCGAGGUUAAGCACUUAUGGUGUGGAGCCGAAGGGAAACCGAGUCUGAAUAGGGCAACUAGUUGUAUAUUGUAGACCCGAAACCGGGUGACCUAUCCAUGGCCAGGAUGAAGCGGAAGUAAAAUUCCGUGGAGGUCCGAACCACGUUGGUGUUGAAAAACCAUGGGAUGAGCUGUGGAUAGCGGAGAAAUUCCAAUCGAACUCGGAGAUAGCUGGUUCUCCUCGAAAUAGCUUUAGGGCUAGCGUCGGGUAAUUGAGUAGUGGAGGUAGAGCACUGAAUGGGCUAGGGGCUGACAACAGUUACUGAACCCUAUCAAACUCCGAAUGCCAUAUACUUGUACCCCGGCAGUCAGACUACGAAUGAUAAGAUCCGUGGUCAAAAGGG
rnacentral:rRNA from 1 species